AGAGUGAACGCUGGCGGUAGGCCUAACACAUGCAAGUCGAACGGCAGCACAGGAGAGCUUGCUCUCUGGGUGGCGAGUGGCGGACGGGUGAGGAAUACAACGGAAUCUACCUUUUCGUGGGGGAUAACGUAGGGAAACUUACGCUAAUACCGCAUAAGACCUUCGGGUGAAAGCCGGGGACCUUCGGGCCUGGCGCGGAUAGAUGAGCCGAUGUCGGAUUAGCUUGUUGGCGGGGUAAAGGCCCACCAAGGCGACGAUCCGUAGCUGGUCUGAGAGGAUGAUCAGCCACACUGGAACUGAGACACGGUCCAGACUCCUACGGGAGCAGCAGUGGGGAAUA
rnacentral:rRNA from 1 species